GACCCCGCACAAGCGGUGGAUCAUGUUGUUUAAUUCGAAGAUACGCGAAAAACCUUAACCAGGUCUUGACAUCCCUUGCAAUGCUGUAGAGAUACAGUGGAGGUUAUCAAGGAGACAGGUGGUGCAUGGUUGUCGUCAGCUCGUGUCGUGAGAUGUUGGGUUAAGUCCCGCAACGAGCGCAACCCUUAUCCUUGUUUGCCAGCGAGUAAUGUCGGGAACUCCAGGGAGACUGCCGGUGAUAAACCGGAGGAAGGUGGGGACGACGUCAAGUCAUCAUGGCCCUUACGAGUAGGGCUACACACGUGCUACAAUGGCGCAUACAGAGGGCGGCCAACUUGCGAGAGUGAGCGAAUCCCAAAAAGUGCGUCGUAGUCCGGAUCGGAGUCUGCAACUCGACUCCGUGAAGUCGGAAUCGCUAGUAAUCGUGGAU
rnacentral:rRNA from 1 species